GUCGAACGCUGGCGGCGUGCCUAAUACAUGCAAGUAGAACGCAGUUGCGAACGGGUGAGUAACGCGUAGGUAACUGCCUCAUAGCGGGGGAAAACUAUUGGAAAGGUUAGCUAAUACCGCUUACUGAGCGAUGGACCUGCGUUGUAUUAGCUAGUUGGUGAGGUAAAGGCUCACCAAGGCGACAAUACAUAGCCGACCUGGGGGGGUGGUCGGCCACACUGGGACUGAGACACUGCCCAAACUCCUACGGGAGGGAGCAGGAGGGGAUCAUCGGCAAUUGGCGGAAAGCUUGCCGAGCAACGCCGCGUUGGUGGAGAAGGGUUUCAGAUCGUAAAACUCUGUUGUGAGAGAAGCGUUAACUAACGAGAAAGGGACGGCUAACUACGUGCCAGCAGCCGCGGUAAUUC
rnacentral:rRNA from 1 species